rnacentral:rRNA from 1 species
GACGUAGGGCGCGAGCGUUGUCCGGAUUUAUUGGGCGUAAAGAGCUCGUAGGCGGCUUGUCGCGUCGACUGUGAAAUCCCGCGGCUCAACUGCGGGUCUGCAGUCGAUACGGGCAGGCUAGAGUUCGGUAGGGGAGACUGGAAUUCCUGGUGUAGCGGUGAAAUGUGCAGAUAUCAGGAGGAACACCGGUGGCGAAGGCGGGUCUCUGGGCCGAUACUGACGCUGAGGAGCGAAAGCUGGGGAGCGAACAGG